rnacentral:rRNA from 1 species
AUUGAACGCUGGCGGCAGGCUUAACACAUGCAAGUCGAGCGGGGUGAUGGUGCUUGCACUAUCACUUAGCGGCGGACGGGUGAGUAAUGCUUAGGAAUCUGCCUAUUAGUGGGGGGCAACAUUUCGAAAGGAAUGCUAAUACCGCAUACGUCCUACGGGAGAAAGCAGGGGAUCUUCGGACCUUGCGCUAAUAGAUGAGCCUAAGUCGGAUUAGCUAGUUGGUGGGGUAAAGGCCUACCAAGGCGACGAUCUGUAGCGGGUCUGAGAGGAUGAUCCGCCACGCUGGGACUGAGAGACGGCCCAGACUCCUACGGGAGGCAGCAGUGGGGAAUAUUGGACGAUGGGCGCAAGCCUGAUCCAGCCAUGCAGCGUGUGUGAAGAAGGCCUUAUGGUUGUAAAGCACUUUAAGCGAGGAGGAGGCUACUUUAGUUAAUACCUAGAGAUAGUGGACGUUACUCGCAGAAUAAGCACCGGCUAACUACGUGCCAGCCGCCGCAGUAA